AUGAACGCUGGCGGCGUGCCUAAUACAUGCAAGUCGAGCGAACGGACGAGAAGCUUGCUUCUCUGAUGUUAGCGGCGGACGGGUGAGUAACACGUGGAUAACCUACCUAUAAGACUGGGAUAACUUCGGGAAACCGGAGCUAAUACCGGAGGAUAUUUUGAACCGCAUGGUUCAAAAGUGAAAGACGGUCUUGCUGUCACUUAUAGAUGGAUCCGCGCUGCAUUAGCUAGUUGGUAAGGUAACGGCUUACCAAGGCAACGAUGCAUAGCCGACCUGAGAGGGUGAUCGGCCACUCUGGAACUGAGACACGGUCCAGACUCCUACGGGAGGCAGCAGUAGGGAAUCUUCCGCAAUGGGCGAAAGCCUGACGGAGCAACGCCGCGUGAGUGAUGAAGGUCUUCGGAUCGUAAAACUCUGUUAUUAGGGAAGAACAUAUGUGUAAGUAACUGUGCACAUCUUGACGGUACCUAAUCAGAAAGCCACGGCUAACUACGUG
rnacentral:rRNA from 1 species